CCUACGGGUGGCAGCAGUCGAGAAUCAUUCACAAUGGGGGAAACCCUGAUGGUGCGACGCCGCGUGGGGGAAUGAAGGUCUUCGGAUUGUAAACCCCUGUCAUGUGGGAGCAAAUUAAAAAGAUAGUACCACAAGAGGAAGAGACGGCUAACUCUGUGCCAGCAGCCGCGGUAAUACAGCGGUCUCAAGCGUUGUUCGGAAUCACUGGGCGUAAGGCGUGCGUAGGCUGUUUCGUAAGUCGUGUGUGAAAGGCGCGGGCUCAACCCGCGGACGGCACAUGAUACUGGGAGACUAGAGUAAUGGAGGGGGAACCGGAAUUCUCGGUGUAGCAGUGAAAUGCGUAGAUAUCGAGAGGAACACUCGUGGCGAAGGCGGGUUCCUGGACAUUAACUGACGCUGAGGCACGAAGGCCAGGGGAGCGAAAGGGAUUAGAUACCCUGGUAGUC
rnacentral:rRNA from 1 species